AGGGGCGCGAGACAACUCUCUCUAAGGAACUCGGCAAAAUUACCUCGUAACUUCGGAAGAAGAGGUACCCCUUCACGGGGGUUGCAAUAGAUUGACCCUGGCGACUGUUUACCAAAAACACAGGUCUCCGCUAAUUCGUAAGAAAAAGUAUGGGGGCUGACGCCUGCCCAGUGCCGGAAGGUUAAAGAAGUUGGUUAGUCCUUGGACAAAGCUAGCGACUGAAGCCCCGGUGAACGGCGGCCGUAACAAUAACGGUCCUAAGGUGGCGAAAUUCCUUGUCGGGUAAGUUCCGACCCGCACGAAAGGCGUAACGAUCAGGGUACUGUCUCGGAGAGAGGCUCGGCGAAAUAGACAUGUCUGUGAAGAUGCGGACUACCUGCACCUGGACAGAAAGACCCUAUGAAGCUUUACUGUAUCUUGGAAUUGGGUUUGGUCUUUGCAUGCGCAGGAUAGGUGGGAGGCUUUGAAGAUGAUCUUGCGGGGUCGUUGGAGCCACUGGUGAGAUACCACCCUUGCAAUGAUAAAAUCCUAACUUUGAACCGUUAUCCGGUCAAAGAACAGUUUCAGGUGGGCAGUUUGACUGGGGCGGUCGCCUCCUAAAAGGUAACGGAGGCGUGCAAAGGUUCCCUCAGGCUGGUUGGACAUCAGUCGUAGAGUGUAAAGGCAUAAGGGAGCUUGACUGCGAGACCAACAAGUCGAGCAGAGACGAAAGUCGGCCUUAGUGAUCCGGCGCUUCCGAGUGGAAGGGGCGUCGCUCAACGGAUAAAAGUUACUCUAAGGAUAACAGGCUGAUCUCCCCCAAGAGUUCACAUCGACGGGGAGGUUUGGCACCUCGAUGUCGGCUCAUCGCAUCCUGGGGCGGUAGUACGUCCCAAGGGUUGGGCUGUUCGCCCAUGAAAGCGGUACGCGAGCUGGGUUCAGAACGUCGUGAGACAGUUCGGUCCAUAUCCGGUGCAGGCGUUAGAGUAUUGCGAAGACUCCUCCUUAGUACGAGAGGACCGGGGGGAAUGCACCGCUGGUGUACCAGUUAUCGUGCCAACGGUAAACGCUGGGUAGCCAAGUGCAGUUUGGAUAACUGCUGAAAGCAUCUAAGUAGAAAGCCAGCUUCAAGAUGAGUACUCUCACCGCUUCAAGCGGGUAAGAUCACGGCAAGAACAGCCGUUUGAUAGGCAUCAAGUGUAAGUGCAGUAAUGUAUUCAGCUGAGAUGUACUAAUAGAUCGAGGGCUUAU
rnacentral:rRNA from 1 species